rnacentral:rRNA from 1 species
AACGAACGCUGGCGGCAUGCCUAACACAUGCAAGUCGAACGAGACCUUCGGGUCUAGUGGCGCACGGGUGCGUAACGCGUGGGAACCUGCCCUUAGGUUCGGAAUAACUCCCCGAAAGGGGUGCUAAUACCGGAUAAUGUCUUCGGACCAAAGAUUUAUCGCCUUUGGAUGGGCCCGCGUUGGAUUAGCUAGUUGGUAGGGUAAAAGCCUACCAAGGCGACGAUCCAUAGCUGGUCCGAGAGGAUGAUCAGCCACACUGGGACUGAGACACGGCCCAGACCCCGACGGGGGGCAGAAGGGGGGAAUAUUGGACAAGGGGAGAAAGCCUGAUCCAGCAAUGCCGGGGGGGGGAUGAGGGCCUUAGGGUUGUAAAGCUUUUUUACCCGGGAUGAUAAUGACAGUACCGGGAAAAUAAGCCCCGGCUACCCCCGG